AUACGUAGGGUGCGAGCGUUGUCCGGAAUUACUGGGCGUAAAGAGCUCGUAGGUGGUUUGUCGCGUCGUCUGUGAAAUUCCGGGGCUUAACUCCGGGCGUGCAGGCGAUACAGGCAUAACUUGAGUACUGUAGGGGAGACUGGAAUUCCUGGUGUAGCGGUGAAAUGCGCAGAUAUCAGGAGGAACACCGGUGGCGAAGGCGGGUCUCUGGGCAGUAACUGACGCUGAGGAGCGAAAGCAUGGGUAGCGAACAGGAUUAGAUACCCUGGUAGUCCAUGCCGUAAACGGUGGGCGCUAGGUGUAGGGGUCUUCCACGACUUCUGUGCCGUAGCUAACGCAUUAAGCGCCCCGCCUGGGGAGUACGGCCGCAAGGCUAAAACUCAAAGGAAUUGACGGGG
rnacentral:rRNA from 1 species